rnacentral:rRNA from 1 species
CUACGGGGUGCUCCAGUGGGGAAUAUUGGACAAUGGGCGCAAGCCUGAUCCAGCAAUGCCGCGUGAGUGAAGACGGCCUUAGGGUUGUAAAACUCUUUCGCUAGGGAAGAUAAUGACUGUACCUAGUAAAGAAGUCCCGGCUAACUCCGUGCCAGCAGCCGCGGUAAUACGGAGGGGACUAGCGUUGUUCGGAAUUACUGGGCGUAAAGAGUUCGAAGGCGGACUGACAAGUUAGAGGUGAAAUCCCAGGGCUCAACCCUGGAACUGCCUUUAAAACUGUCAGUCUAGAGACCGGAAGAGGUUAGGGGAAUACCUAGUGUAGAGGUGAAAUUCGUAGAUAUUAGGCGGAACACCAGUGGCGAAGGCGCCUAACUGGUCCGGUACUGACGCUGAGGAACGAAAGCGUGGGGAGCAAACAGGAUUAGAUACCCCAGUAGUC